CGGCCCCGGCCGCCGGGCGCACCCGUCCCGUGCGUCCCCGGACGUUGCUCUCUGCCCCGGGAACGUCGAGACUGGAGCGCCCGAGCUGAGCCACCUUCGCCGACCCCGAGCGCUGCAGCUCCACUCACCGCGGAGGCGCCUGGACGCGUAAAGUGCGUACUUUCAACCGCGAAUGAAUGUUGAGGCUUUUAGGGGUGCGGGGCGACUCCCCAACUCCACGGGGGCCCUGGUCGGCCCCGCCGCCGAGUCGGAGACCAUCCGGUUCCUCGCUUGCGCUCGGCGCGGGGCCGGCGACUUGGGCUCAAGGGCGGCGGGGCGGGGAAGUGCCUUGACCUAGGGUCCCCGAAGCCCGGAGCGAGCCCCGCUUCGCCUUGGCUCGCCUUGCCCUCCGGGGUGAGGUCUGGGCCCGGUCGCAAGCGAUUUGUACCCGGUCCCGGGGAGUCGAGCCUCCAGAUACGCCCUCGCGGUAGCGGGGACUUUUCUGGGGCGGCGGUGGCGGAGUCCGGGGCCACUGCUGCCACAGUCCCGUGCGCUGCGCGUCCCGGGGACCAGCCGCCUAACUUCUAUCCGGGACGGAGACGGCGCUCGCGCCCCGGGCGGAGGUGGGAGCUCGCUGGGCUGGGUAGGGAAGAGGGCGAAUCGUUCCCAGCGGCGGCAGCGGCGGCGGCGGCGGCGGCGGCGGCGGCGACGGCGACGACGAGGGAACAAGUCUGGAGAAGUCAACUGCAGGGCAAGGAGCCCCCACCCAGGACCCAGCGGGACCCCGCGGGCGCGAGGGCACACACCCCGCUUUGGGCGGAGGUACUUCUCUCCGGUUUUCGCGGCCCUGGCGGGAUCCUCGGCCGCGUAAGCUCCCCGAUGGACCCGUGGCUCCAGCAGUCAAGACCCAGAGUGGAAGGCGGGGUGCGCUCCAAUGUAGCCCCCUUUCUGUAUCUCCCGCCGGGGUGAUUUCUCCGCUGUCUGGAGCAGGGGUUUGGGGCUGCACAGCCCCAGGAGCUCUCUGCCUAGAGGAAAGCCAGCCUGGUCCUCACUGUCCCUCACCGCCCUGGGUAGGGGGCGUUCAGGUGGGUUAGGGAAUUCUCCCUGAGCCAAACCUGGCUGGGGCGGUGGGGGGGGUCCCAUUGGGCUGCACCCCUCUUCCCGCAGGGCACCCCUGAGCUAGCAAAUUGUUUCCUUCCUGUUUCUUGCUCCCCCUUUUGGGUGGUGUGUGUGGUGAGUGAAGCCUCCUGCUUGGCAAGUCUCCGAGGAGAUGGUUGGGGGUCUGGGUUGCGGCUCCCCGGCAGGGGCAAGGGGAGCCCCAACUUCUGUUGGAGAAACUUUCAAGCCCCGAUUCCUUGAUUUUGGGGGGCAGGGGAGGAUGCCAGUCUAGGACCUGUGCCCUGCCCCCACGCACACAGAAGCUGGGACAGGGCCAUGGGGCAGCCCUCCCCACCUUACCACGUUUAGUCUCAGAAAAUGAAAAAGCCACUUGGGGCCGGGGAGAGCCUUUCGUGCCCCGGGGAUCUGGUGGUGGUGCUGGUGGGUGUGUGGAAGCAGUAGUCUGGGGCACAAGCGAGACUGGUCCAAGCUGGCCUGCCCAGCCAGCAGCACCCAGCCCCCAUGCCCUCCAAUCCCAGGGAGGCUCGGGGGGAGCAGUGCUUGGCCUUCGGGCUGUUGCUGCUCCGGGGGUUCUGCUUGUUUCUUGGGCUGACAGGCUACACUCCAUCCCUCAGGAUUCCAGAACAUUGGACACGGUGCUCAGGCCCUUCUGGCUCCCACGGCCGCUUGUGCAGGGGAGGACAGACCCAAGAUCCAGGUGCUCCCUGGCCUUUGGAAGCCAGGCCCGGGCUUGGCGACUCCCUCUCCAUCCCUGGCUUCUCCCUUUCCGAAACCCUCUCUCGUCCCCAAGCGUCCCUGUUGCACCUUCCUCCCCUCUUCCCAGGGCAGAAUGCCAGCUCCACCUGGAUCUGGCCCUUCCUGCCAGCUGCCCAUCCUGUCCUGACCUGUCCUGGGGGUCAGCAGUGAGAGUCUUGGUCCAAGGCCCAGAGGCCUGGCCCCAGCGGGCCUGGCAGACUCUGAACUGCAGAGUUGAAGCUGGGGCUGUUCCCCAUGCUUCUGGGUCUGGCUCGGCCCGCCCCACCCCCCCUUCCCGCCUGCCCUCUCACGGCUCCAGCAGGGGGCGGGCAGCGGAAAGAAAAGGAAGGACAAGUUGAACUGGGUCCAUCUGGUGUCCAGGAGCAACUUGAAAGGGGCUGGUGGGGGGGAGGGGACAGGCGUUGGGGGCCUGGCUCAGCCAACGGGAGGUUGGGUGGCCUCCUGACUUCCCAGGCCAUUCUCAUGGGGCUGUCUCCCUGUGCAAGGGAGGCCUUGGGGGGUUUGCCCAGGCUUUGACCCUUCCCCCGCAGCGUCCUGUGCAGGGCUUGGUGGGUGUAUGGUGGGCCCGGUGAGCAACUCCCGGUGACCAGGGAUGUUGCUGCGGAGACUUCCCAUGGGGACGGGUUGGGCCACCCUUCAGGCCUCCUAGGGCUUCUGGGGGAGAUGAACCAGCCUGCACACCUGGCCAAAAGUGGGGGAGAACUUUGAGUAUGUCCUGGCUGAGCCCUGGGUCACAGCCGUCCUUGGCCACUGACCCUUGGUCUCCCCUUCCAUUGGCCUCUUGGUACUCUGGAAAUUCCUGGGUGCUGUCCCGCCUCUGAGCCUCCACUCAGGUCCUCUCCUGGCAGCUCUCUUCCUCCUCCCCCGCUGCCUUCCCCUCGGCCUGCACCCAGCCUGCCCUGCCACCUGGAGGGAGCUGAGACUUCCCUUGCCCUCAUCCUUCCUCCUUCGUGCGGCCUCGGUAGGCGUGUGUCUCACCAUGGUUUUCCGUAGCUGCUGCUGCUCAGGCCUUGCUUCUCCCCGGGUGGCCCAGUCGGGAUCCCUGGCAGUGACCUGAUCCCGGCACCCAGGACAAGCCCAAUAAACCUUUGUGAA
rnacentral:lncRNA from 1 species